rnacentral:lncRNA from 1 species
ACCCUAUCUUGUGUCUAUUAUAUCUCCACACCCCAACCUUCUUUCUCUUUGAUUUUUGGAUGUCCCAAAGGUCUCUCUUUGAUCUAUGUUCCAUAAAACUUUAAUAAAAAAAAUUAUUUUAUAUAGAGAGAUAUGAUAGUGUCCUUAUCUAGGUCAAAUACCGAGUCAAGGUUUAUCCAAACAUAGCAAGAUAAAGGGCGCCC